AUUUCUCGGCCUUUUGGCUAAGAUCAAGUGUAGUAUCCUACUCCUUUUACAUUCUUGCUGUUAUUUUUAGGAAGCCUUUAUUUUUAUACACAUUAAGGUCAGUGAGAGAGAGUGAGCUGUUGCACUAGUUAAAGGCACUAGGCUAG
rnacentral:snRNA from 1 species